ACUCUGAUGGUCUUCUGCACCCAAAGGGGUCCCUGAUCAAGAUUUCUGCAAAUUACAGGGUUUGGGAAAGAGUUCGGCUGAAUCCUCUGAUGGUCUUUUGCACGCCAGGGUGUCCCUGAUCAUGAUUUGAGCAAAUUACAGGGUUUGGGAAAGAGUUUUGUUAACUUUCAAAAUAUCCAUAAAUUCUUGAGGCGACUCCAAAUUGAUCUACUUCUAAAAUGAUGCAGCCUGGACAUUUGCUCAGAAAUUGCCCUUAAUAAGGAUAUGGAGCUGAACAAGGAAACAAGGAGUUAAGGAAAGCAGUUGCAGAUACAUUUUACGGAGAUGUAACAGUAAAAGAUACUGAAGUUUUUAUAUCCAAUAUCAAGACUUUCCGGUACUAAAAUCAAUAAAUUAUCAAGAAUUUGCUUAGGUGCUUGAUGUCACGCAGUUUGGCUACUUUAAGGUGCUGGGGAAGGGCUCAGGGACGAAACCGAUUGUGGUAAAGGCCAAGCUGGUGUCGAAAAUUGCGGAGAAGAAGAUUGAGAUGGGCGGCGCUGUUGUGCUUACUGCUUAGGAUUGAUUGUUUUUGUUUUAAUUGAAUUGGAUUAUACUGAUUGUAAUGGUUAUUAUUGAUUCUCACUACAAGAAAGAGGAAUCCAGGGAUUACUUUACCAGCAGCUGAAGUUGGGUUGGAAGUGUUGUCAAUCAAUCGAGUGGAAGUGCAGUGUUGAUAAAGAGAUUCUUUUCCCCUAUUGAUCAUGUCCAUUCCUGCGUGGAAUUGUGCUCAAAACUUAAAAAAAACUGUUGUUCUGCUUGGUUUAUCUAUCCAGUUGUCACUUGUGACACACAAUAAAAUUUAAGCAUUUGCUAGAUAUAAUUAGUGCAGGUGGUGGUUUUACUGAUUAUGUUUACUAUUGCAUGCUUGCUAAAACGUGACAAGUAUUUCCGUGUUUUUUUGGUCUGUCAAGAGUAGCUUCUGAACAAGUGUUGGGAACUCCUUUCGGAUAUAGCCAUUUAAAUAGUGUAUAUGUGCUGUAGC